rnacentral:rRNA from 1 species
GAUGAACGCUGGCGGCGUGCCUAAUACAUGCAAGUCGAGCGAACAGACGAGGAGCUUGCUCCUCUGACGUUAGCGGCGGACGGGUGAGUAACACGUGGAUAACCUACCUAUAAGACUGGGAUAACUUCGGGAAACCGGAGCUAAUAUCGGAUAAUAUAUUGAACCGCAUGGUUCAAUAGUGAAAGACGGUUUUGCUGUCACUUAUAGAUGGAUCCGCGCCGCAUUAGCUAGUUGGUAAGGUAACGGCUUACCAAGGCAACGAUGCGUAGCCGACCUGAGAGGGUGAUCGGCCACACUGGAACUGAGACACGGUCCAGACUCCUACGGGAGGCAGCAGUAGGGAAUCUUCCGCAAUGGGCGAAAGCUUGACGGAGCAACGCCGCGUGAGUGAUGAAGGUCUUCGGAUCGUAAAACUCUGUUAUUAGGGAAGAACAAAUGUGUAAGUAACUAUGCACGUCUUGACGGUACCUAAUCAGAAAGCCACGGCUAACUACGUG